UCCCUCCCCCGCGUGGGAGGGCCGCACCGGCUGACCGGCUUCGGGCCUCUAGGGGCCGGCGCUGAGAACUGCGGCUGGAUGAGCGAGGCUGGAAAAACCCCACUGCGGGGAGGCUGAAGCCAAGUGCCACGACAAAGGCAAGAUGCUGCGCGUGAGAAAUUAGAGCUCGCACGAGCAACUCUUGAGUAGGACGUGAAGAAGAGUAACACUAACAAAGACGUGCCCAGUUAUCCAAGCUGAAUACUACCGCAAAUAAGACAAAUGCAUACCAGUCCUUAGAGGAACAAUGCAAGGACGGCAGGGCACAGCGCUCCACCCGCCCGCAGAACCCCUGUGCCCUCACCAACAUGCCUCAGUCCUCCUAAACUACCAAGACCCAGGAGGGAGGGCACAAAGCCUCCCCCCAGCACUGCUGAGCAUAAGAGCAAAAUAGGGAACUUCUGUGACAACAGCCUCCAUCCACAGGUAGAAAGAGAGAGAGAGAGAGGCAGAGACACAGGCAGAGGGAGAAGCAGGCUACAUGCUGGGAGCUUGACGUGGGACUCAAUCCUGGAUCUCUAGGAUCACACCCUGGGUCGAAGACGGUACUAAACUGCUGGGCCACCCAGGCUGCCCCCCUUCAGUGCUUUAAUCAUGACUACUGAAUUUCUCUUCCCCCUGGAAGGUGUGUGUUCACCUCUGGUCAUUUCUCGUCACUCAUUUUGCAUCUCCCGUCAGAGACAGAGUGUCCUCAGGAGACCAAGGGAAGGGUUCACCUGACAAGGGCCCAAGAUUGGGAGGGGACAGACAACCAAUUUAAAAACCAAAGUAAGUUCUGAGCUUGGCAAAAUAAAGACUAUCUAUAUAGGGUAAAAAUUAA